rnacentral:rRNA from 1 species
UACAGAGGUCUCGAGCGUUGUUCGGAUUUAUUGGGCAUAAAGGGUGCGUAGGCGGUGUGGCAAGUCAAGUGUGAAAUCUCGGAGCUUAACUCUGAAACUGCACUUGUUACUGCCGUGCUAGAGGGUUGUAGAGGAGAUCGGAAUUCACGGUGUGGCAGUGAAAUGCGUAGAUAUCGUGAGGAAGACCAGUUGCGAAAGCGGGUCUCUGGGCAAUUCCUGACGCUGAGGCACGAAGGCUAGGGGAGCAAACGGG